GGAUUGUGGCUCAGUGGUAGAAUGCUCGCCUAGCACGGGCGGGACCUGGGUUUGAUCCUCAGCACCA
rnacentral:tRNA from 1 species